GGCUGGGUGGCCGAGCGGUCUAAGGCGGUAGACUCAAGAAAUCCCUUUCUUUCCCGCAAAAAUGCGGGAGUAUUCUACUCUCGAAAGAGGCGCGCGUUCGAAUCGCGCCCCAGUCA
rnacentral:tRNA from 1 species